ACCACUAUGGCCGAGCGGUCUAAGGCGGCAGACUUAAGAUCUGUUGUUUGUAAAACGCGUGGGUUCGAAUCCCACUGGUGGUA
rfam:Vittaforma corneae ATCC 50505 unplaced genomic scaffold supercont1.5, whole genome shotgun sequence.